rnacentral:tRNA from 1 species
CGGAUAGAGGCCCGCUGGAUUGGGUGUUUAGCUGUUAACUAAAACUUUGCGGGAUCGAGGCCCGCCUAUCUAG